rnacentral:rRNA from 1 species
GAUGAACGCUGGCGGCGUGCCUAAUACAUGCAAGUCGAGCGAACAGAUGAGGAGCUUGCUCCUCUGACGUUAGCGGCGGACGGGUGAGUAACACGUGGAUAACCUACCUAUAAGACUGGGAUAACUUCGGGAAACCGGAGCUAAUACCGGAUAAUAUAUUAAACCGCAUGGUUCAAUAGUGAAAGACGGUUUUGCUGUCACUUAUAGAUGGAUCCGCGCCGCAUUAGCUAGUUGGUAAGGUAACGGCUUACCAAGGCAACGAUGCGUAGCCGACCUGAGAGGGUGAUCGGCCACACUGGAACUGAGACACGGUCCAGACUCCUACGGGAGGCAGCAGUAGGGAAUCUUCCGCAAUGGGCGAAAGCUUGACGGAGCAACGCCGCGUGAGUGAUGAAGGUCUUCGGAUCGUAAAACUCUGUUAUUAGGGAAGAACAAAUGUGUAAGUAACUAUGCACGUCUUGACGGUACCUAAUCAGAAAGCCACGGCUAACUACGUG